UCAUGUAAUGAUGCCUAAAACGUUAAUGCAUCAUAUCCCAUCAUAAAUCCACAAUUAAGCAUUCUUGUGCUAGAGUAUUACUGGGAUGGGUGACCUCCCAAUAAUUUCUAGUGUUUUACAUGCC
rnacentral:rRNA from 1 species